rnacentral:rRNA from 1 species
UCGACUUGGAGGUUGUGCCCUUGAGGUGUGGCUUCCGGAGCUAACGCGUUAAGUCGACCGCCUGGGGAGUACGGCCGCAAGGUUAAAACUCAAAUGAAUUGACGGGGGCCCGCACAAGCGGUGGAGCAUGUGGUUUAAUUCGAUGCAACGCGAAGAACCUUACCUGGUCUUGACAUCCACGGAAGUUUUCAGAGAUGAGAAUGUGCCUUCGGGAACCGUGAGACAGGUGCUGCAUGGCUGUCGUCAGCUCGUGUUGUGAAAUGUUGGGUUAAGUCCCGCAACGAGCGCAACCCUUAUCCUUUGUUGCCAGCGGUCCGGCCGGGAACUCAAAGGAGACUGCCAGUGAUAAACUGGAGGAAGGUGGGGAUGACGUCAAGUCAUCAUGGCCCUUACGACCAGGGCUACACACGUGCUACAAUGGCGCAUACAAAGAGAAGCGACCUCGCGAGAGCAAGCGGACCUCAUAAAGUGCGUCGUAGUCCGGAUUGGAGUCUGCAACUCGACUCCAUGAAGUCGGAAUCGCUAGUAAUCGUGGAUCAGAAUGCCACGGUGAAUACGUUCCCGGGCCUUGUACACACCGCCCGUCACACCAUGGGAGUGGGUUGCAAAAGAAGUAGGUAGCUUAACCUUCGGGAGGGCGCUUACCACUUUGUGAUUCAUGACUGGGGUGAAGUCGUAACAAGGUAACCGUAGGGGAACCUGCGGUUGGAUCACCUCCUUA